rnacentral:rRNA from 1 species
CCUACUGGAGACUGCAGUGAGGAAUAUUGGUCAAUGGACGCGAGUCUGAACCAGCCAAGUAGCGUGAAGGAUGACUGCCCUAUGGGUUGUAAACUUCUUUUAUAUGGGAAUAAACUGUUCCACGUGUGGGAUUUUGUAUGUACCUUAUGAAUAAGGAUCGGCUAACUCCGUGCCAGCAGCCGCGGUAAUACGGAGGAUCCGAGCGUUAUCCGGAUUUAUUGGGUUUAAAGGGAGCGUAGAUGGAUUGUUAAGUCAGUUGUGAAAGUUUGCGGCUCAACCGUAAAAUUGCAGUUGAAACUGGCAGUCUGGAGUACAGUAGAGGUGGGCGGAAUUCGUGGUGUAGCGGUGAAAUGCUUAGAUAUCACGAAGAACUCCGAUUGCGAAGGCAGUUCACUGGACUGCAACUGACACUGAGGCUCGAAAGUGUGGGUAUCAAACAGGAUUAGAUACCCGUGUAGUC